rnacentral:lncRNA from 1 species
AUGCGGAAUCCCUGCGACUGCACAAACAUUCCAGUGAGAUUCUUUGGGCCUCCUCUAACACAAAUGUCUGGUCGUUGGGCUCAGACAGGGCCGGCAGCAGAUAAGGAAAUACAACAUUUAACAAAGGACCUCGAAGGAACUUCCAGAGGGGGUCAAGCAUUAAUCCCCACUGGCUGGAGGGAAGGUCAGGCUAUUGGUGAACCAAGGAUUCCCAGAGCUGAAGGAGUGGAGGCUUUGGAGUUCAGUGGAGAAGUGGAAGCCUUUAUACAAAGGACCCUGAGCAAGUCACAUGACGGCCACCGAGUGUCCCCGGUAGCUGCGAGGACGGAGGCCGCCCAGGUGGGGCUUUACGUUGGGAGGAGCUGUGUCCUAUGGAAGCCCACCACUGCCAUCUCCGAAAUGGGGACCUCAUCUCUGCCUAGCUCCUUCCCAUGGUGCCUGUGCAGGAAGAGCACACUGAGCAUGCGCCAACUGCAGAACCAUCCCGUCACCAUGCUGAGCGCCAAGUAUGUAGGGACCUAGAGACCCACCCAGGGACCCCUCCCACAGGGGCGUGGCUGCACGGGGGGGGCGGGGCACACGGAGGUGACUGAGGUGGGGGCGGGAGGGAAGGGAAGCUGCCCCUGACACGCGGAGGGGGGGGAUGUAUGUGACAGCCCUGGCUGGGGGGAGGGGCACUCAGAUGGGGAGCCCGGUGGGUGGGGUCCACCCACGGGGACGGGAAAUAGCUGGGACGGACGGCCAGAGGCUCGGAGCCGGAAGCGAGCCGGGG